AACGAACGCUGGCGGCAUGCCUAACACAUGCAAGUCGAACGAGAUCUUCGGGUCUAGUGGCGCACGGGUGCGUAACGCGUGGGAAUCUGCCCUUUGUUUCGGCAUAACAGUUGGAAACGACUGCUAAUACCGGAUGAUGACGAAAGUCCAAAGAUUUAUCGCCAGAGGAUGAGCCCGCGUAGGAUUAGCUAGUUGGUGUGGUAAAGGCGCACCAAGGCGACGAUCCUUAGCUGGUCUGAGAGGAUGAUCAGCCACACUGGGACUGAGACACGGCCCAGACUCCUACGGGAGGCAGCAGUGGGGAAUAUUGGACAAUGGGCGAAAGCCUGAUCCAGCAAUGCCGCGUGAGUGAUGAAGGCCUUAGGGUUGUAAAGCUCUUUUACCCGGGAUGAUAAUGACAGUACCGGGAGAAUAAGCUCCGGCUAACUCCGUGCCAGCCGCCGCAGUAA
rnacentral:rRNA from 1 species